rnacentral:rRNA from 1 species
UACGUAGGGUGCAAGCGUUGUCCGGAAUUAUUGGGCGUAAAGAGCUCGUAGGCGGUCUGUCGCGUCUGCUGUGAAAACUCAGGGCUUAACCCUGAGCUUGCAGUGGGUACGGGCAGACUAGAGUGCGGUAGGGGAGACUGGAAUUCCUGGUGUAGCGGUGAAAUGCGCAGAUAUCAGGAGGAACACCGGUGGCGAAGGCGGGUCUCUGGUCCGGUUCUGACGCUGAGGCGCGAAAGCGUGGGGAGCAAACAGG